rnacentral:SRP_RNA from 1 species
UGUCCGGUCCUGCGCAAUACGGACCGGUGAACCGUGUCAGGUCGGGGACGAAGCAGCACUAAGCAGGAAUCCGUAUGUGCCGCAGCCAACCGGACAAUA